UCUCUUCUUACCACUUUAAUAUCUGAUACGUCCUCUGUCUGAGGACAAUAUAUUAAAUGGAUUUUUGGAGCAGGGAGAUGGAAUAGGAGCUUGCUCCAUCCGCUCCACGCAUAGACCUGGUAUUGCAGUACCUCCAGGAUCGUUGC
rnacentral:snRNA from 1 species